UAUAUAGCUUCUAGAAAAAUUGCUAAUUGAUCCAGAGCAACUAGAAAGAGAUUUUUUAACCAGAAAGAAUUCAGUUAGGCCUCGUUUGUUUGCCGGACUAGAUAAGAAGUCUCUGGACUAAUAGUUUCCGGAUUACUUGGCCCUAGACUAUUAGUCUCCGGACUACUUGGACUAAUGAAGGUAAAAAAGUAAUUUCAUAUUUAGGCGUAGUCCUGGACAAGGAGUCUCACCCCUUUCCCGGGACAGUAUAGUCUCGUAUAUGGGGAAUUAUUUGUCUG
rnacentral:lncRNA from 1 species